GACGAACGCUGGCGGCGUGCUUAACACAUGCAAGUCGAACGGAAAGGCCCUGCUUUUGUGGGGUGCUCGAGUGGCGAACGGGUGAGUAACACGUGAGUAACCUGCCCUUGACUUUGGGAUAACUUCAGGAAACUGGGGCUAAUACCGGAUAGGAGCUCCUGCUGCAUGGUGGGGGUUGGAAAGUUUCGGCGGUCGGGGAUGGACUCGCGGCUUAUCAGCUUGUUGGUGGGGUAGUGGCUUACCAAGGCUUUGACGGGUAGCCGGCCUGAGAGGGUGACCGGCCACAUUGGGACUGAGAUACGGCCCAGACUCCUACGGGGGGCAGCAGUGGGGAAUAUUGCACAAUGGGCGGAAGCCUGAUGCAGCAGCGCCGCGUGCGGGAUGACGGCCUUCGGGUUGUAAACCGCUUUCGCCUGUGACGAAGCGUGAGUGACGGUAAUGGGUAAAGAAGCACCGGCUAACUACGUG
rnacentral:rRNA from 1 species